rnacentral:rRNA from 1 species
CGAACCGUGCGAACGUUAUUCGGAAUCACUGGGCUUAAAGGGCGCGUAGGCGGGCUCACAAGUCAGGGGUGAAAUCCCACGGCUCAACCGUGGAAGUGCCUUUGAUACUGUGGGCCUGGAGGGAGGUAGGGGCGUGCGGAACUUCCGGUGGAGCGGUGAAAUGCGUAGAUAUCUGGAGGAACACCGGUGGCGAAGGCGGCAUCCUGGACCAACACUGACGCUGAGUGAGCGAAAGCCAGGGGAGCAAACGGG